UACAGAGGGUGCGAGCGUUAAUCGGAUUUACUGGGCGUAAAGCGUGCGUAGGCGGCUUUUUAAGUCGGAUGUGAAAUCCCCGAGCUUAACUUGGGAAUUGCAUUUAGAACUGGCAAGCUAGAGUUUUGAAGAGGGUGGUAGAAUUUCCAGUGUAGCGGUGAAAUGCGUAGAUAUUGGAAGGAAUACCAGUGGCGAAGGCGGCCACCUGGUCAAAAACUGACACUGAGGUGCGAAAGCGUGGGUAGCAAACAGG
rnacentral:misc_RNA from 1 species